rnacentral:tRNA from 1 species
GGCGCUGUGGCUUAGUAAAGCGCCUGUCUAGUAAACAGGAGAUCCUGGGUCCAAAUCCCAGCAGUGCCU